UACGUAGGGGCCUAGCGUUGUCCGGAUUUAUUGGGCGUAAAGAGCUCGUAGGCGGUUCGGUAAGUCAGGUGUGAAAUCUCCACGCUCAACGUGGAGGCGCCACCUGAAAACUGCCGUGACUCGAGUCCGGUAGGGGAGUGUGGAAUUCCUGGUUGUAGCGGUGAAAUGACGCAGAUAUCAGGAGGAACACCGGUGGCGAAGGCGGGGUCUCUGGGGCAAACAACUGACUGAGGAGCG
rnacentral:rRNA from 1 species